rnacentral:lncRNA from 1 species
CUUAUACUCUGACACAGUACAGCCUGCAAGGAUCAUGCUUACAAGGAGUAGAAAUGUGUACAUGAUGAAUUAUUGAGGUAAAAUGAAUAUUUUUGUUACUAAAUAUGGAGGAAACAUAAGUUUAUAUUAUAGUACUUAUGGUAAUAAUCCUCCCCUAUCAAAAUCUCCAUAGAUCCAAGUGCUGUCAGAAUACUAAUUUGUGGCCUUGUUUAUUUAAAAGGUUGCCACUUCCCAUGCAGAACUACCACUGGUAUUUUGUUACUGCAGUAGUUGGAAAUAAAAUUUGAAACUGACCAAAGCAUGAAUUAUUAUUUUUUUUCUUGGUUCUAAAUUUGGGAUGUAGUAUUUCCUAUAAUAUGGUCAAAGCAGAUUUUUUUCUCUGGAGCCUCCAUUGUCUGUUUUUGUUUUAAAGGUGUUAGUGAGACCCUUCCUUGGCAAGCAGGAGUACCACUGAUUUGUUUGUGAGGAUUUGUUUCAUUUUGUAAGUAGAGGGUAGGUUUAAUUUUCAGGUGAGGUUUUGCUGGGAAGCUGCUGGUCACCUAAGUGAGGUGGAAGGGAGCAAGCCAGCCAGUAGCAUCCAGGGAAAGGAGAGGUUAGAGAAAACUCAGGCGGUGUGAAAAUGAGCAAAUGAAACGGUGUCGCUACACAGUCCUGGCUUUCUUGAAAGACACUUUUGCAGAAAAGUACUUACUCUAGUGGCUGUUUUGUCUUAAAGAGGUUUUAUAAGUUAUUCAAACAACUGGCUUUCUCAUUAAGACAAGAGGAUGAUUUCACAACCUAGUAACUCACCACAAUGCUUAAAAAAAG